rnacentral:rRNA from 1 species
AUUGAACGCUGGCGGCAUGCCUUACACAUGCAAGUCGAACGGUAACGCGGGGCAACCUGGCGACGAGUGGCGAACGGGUGAGUAAAGCAUCGGAACGUGCCCAGUAGUGGGGGAUAGCCCGGCGAAAGCCGGAUUAAUACCGCAUACGACCUGAGGGUGAAAGCGGGGGAUCGCAAGACCUCGCGCUAUUGGAGCGGCCG